GUUGGUUUUUUAAACAAUGUACACGUUGGACGUACACGCCCACUAGCAUAUUUUAUACAUUUUUUUACUGGCAGUCGGCUAAAACACGUGGACGGACGGUUCCGGUUAGUUAAGAUUCGGAAAUCCAUCGCAACUUCUGCCGUGCGUCGUGUUGCUGGCCACCCUUGCAGGUUCAUAGCGUAUUACAGUAACAUGUUUGAUAUGACGACAAUGAUGACUUUGUGAUAAUCAUUAUACCAAACAAUUAUACUACGGAAAACAAUUUAAGCCUCAGAUGGAUACAAUUACACAGGAAGUGACCACAGCUCUUAUGCGGCACUGAAAAGAAACAGAAAUGGAGGCUCGAGGUGGAAAAAGAACGUUAUUUAUUAAAUAUUCGACAUCCAAUGAUUUUUAAUCUUCCUCAGAGUUAUGUUAAUAUUCAGUUUUGUUCGAAAUCGUGGUCUGUGUUUACGCACCAAUCCACACACAUAGUCAGCAGCAGUUGAAAAAGCGAUUGUAUUGUUGUCAAAUAAAAAGAAGGUAUUCCGUGCAGCUUAGGAAAUCGAAAGAGACGAGAACUGUAGUGGAAACCAGAGAAUCGAAAGAAUUAUUUUGCCACUGAGAUUUGACACCCGAUGAUCAAGCGCCUUGCACCAGCUGCUCAUCUGCUCCAUUUGUGACUUUUCGUUCAUCGUAAAGUUUGUUUUCCCCAACUACACAUACUUUCCAAUUGUCCUUGGAUCCGUUAGAUAACCUAUUGUAUAUUUGUCGACAAGCGGACGUUUGAUCUCUUACCCAAACACACCCACUCACAAUGUGCUAACACGUUGUGCCUUUGAUUCCUUCUUCAUUUUCCGACUUGGUUGUAAUAUAUUAUUGGGAUAAUGUGUAUGGGCGAACGAGGGUGGAUGCAAUUUUUACUGGAGAAAAGAAGUAUUAAAGAAGAACCGAACAAAACUAUAAUGAAAAUCUUUGUGGAUUGCAAGCAAUUACUUGUGACUUUAAGUUGGAAACAUUUGCCCGCAGCACACAUUUACUGUAUCAUUGACGUUUUUAGAAACCAUAAAAACAAAAUUUAGCAAAACAUUUUUAGCGUUAUGCCGAAGGCA